rnacentral:rRNA from 1 species
CCCAGACUCCUACGGGAGGCAGCAGUAGGGAAUUUUGCGCAAUGGGGGAAACCCUGACGCAGCAACGCCGCGUGAUUGAUGAAGCCCUUCGGGGUGUAAAGAUCUGUCAGUGGGGACGAAACUUGACGGUACCCACAGAGGAAGCAUCGGCUAACUCCGUGCCAGCAGCCGCGGUAAUACGUAGGGGGCGAGCGUUAUCCGGAUUCACUGGGUGUAAAGGGAGCGUAGACGGCCAAGCAAGCCAGGGGUGAAAGCCCGGGGCCCAACCCCGGGACUGCCCUUGGAACUGCUUGGCUGGAGUGCGGGAGGGGCAGGCGGAAUUCCUGGUGUAGCGGUGAAAUGCGUAGAUAUCAGGAGGAACACCGGUGGCGAAGGCGGCCUGCUGGACUGCAACUGACGUUGAGGCCCGAAAGCGUGGGGAGCAAACAGGAUUAGAUACCCGGGUAAAC